UAAAGAAUUUCGGUCAUCGAUGGGGAUGCGUUCCAUUAGCUUGUUGGCGGGGUAACGGCCCGCCAAGGCAUCGAUGGAUAGGGGUUCUGAGAGGAAGGUCCCCCACAUUGGAACUGAGACACGGUCCAAACUCCUACGGGAGGCAGCAGUGAGGAAUAUUGGUCAAUGGGCGCUAGCCUGAACCAGCCAAGUAGCGUGAAGGAUGACUGCCCUAUGGGUUGUAAACUUCUUUUAUAUGGGAAUAAAGUGCAGUAUGUAUACUGCUUUGCAUGUACCUUAUGAAUAAGGAUCGGCUAACUCCGUGCCAGCAGCCGCGGUAAUACGGAGGAUCCGAGCGUUAUCCGGAUUUAUUGGGUUUAAAGGGAGCGUAGGCGGGUUGUUAAGUCAGUUGUGAAAGUUUGCGGCUCAACCGUAAAAUUGCAGUUGAUACUGGCAUCCUUGAGUACAGUAGAGGUAGGCGGAAUUCGUGGUGUAGCGGUGAAAUGCUUAGAUAUCACGAAGAACUCCGAUUGCGAAGGCAGCCUGCUGGACUGUAACUGACGCUGAUGCUCGAAAGUGUGGGUAUCAAACAGGAUUAGAUACCCUGGUAGUCCACACA
rnacentral:rRNA from 1 species